rnacentral:rRNA from 1 species
AGUGAACGCUGGCGGUAGGCCUAACACAUGCAAGUCGAACGGCAGCACAGAGGAGCUUGCUCCUUGGGUGGCGAGUGGCGGACGGGUGAGGAAUACAUCGGAAUCUACUCUGUCGUGGGGGAUAACGUAGGGAAACUUACGCUAAUACCGCAUACGACCUACGGGUGAAAGCAGGGGAUCUUCGGACCUUGCGCGAUUGAAUGAGCCGAUGUCGGAUUAGCUAGUUGGCGGGGUAAAGGCCCACCAAGGCGACGAUCCGUAGCUGGUCUGAGAGGAUGAUCAGCCACACUGGAACUGAGACACGGUCCAGACUCCUACGGGAGGCAGCAGUGGGGAAUAUUGGACAAUGGGCGCAAGCCUGAUCCAGCCAUACCGCGUGGGUGAAGAAGGCCUUCGGGUUGUAAAGCCCUUUUGUUGGGAAAGAAAUCCAGCCGGCUAAUACCUGGUUGGGAUGACGGUACCCAAAGAAUAAGCACCGGCUAACUUCGUGCCAGCAGCCGCGGUAAUACGAAGGGUGCAAGCGUUACUCGGA